CACUCCUUGCACCCACUGGCACAAGCUUGAACCACGGUUUCUCAGACACUUGCCAUUCCCACUGAAGUGAGUCCAGGGGGAGAAAGGCUUGCUUUCUCAUGCUAACAACUCCAUUGUAAGUGACGUCUUCAGAGGCUGCCAGGAGGGCUCCGGGAAGGCAUGGUCUGAGAGAACCGCACGCCGCACGGAGCUCCAUUUAUCCACAACACACAUUUGGAAGGGAUAAAACAUUACCUCAGAAUCACAGUCCACCGUCAGGAAUAUGGUAAAGUUGCUUAUUUAUUUUCUCACAAAUCUCUUGCCUUUCAAAUUUCAAAGGCUUUAUAAUAUUUUUAUGCUAGAUCUUAACUCUCCUCACACAUACUGUAUCAAAAGGACUAUCUGAGCAGCGGCCGUGAACAUCCCACCUGCACGUAAAACCCGGAGCUAGAAAAUAAUAGGUGUCAAACUCUUCCUUAGAGCUCACUCUGCGACGAUGCCACACGCAAGCGGGAUAAACGAAAAGAUCUCAUCAUAUUAAAAAGCCAAUUCAUUCUUGCUUUCAAUUUUUUUUUUUUCCUCCAAAAGCUUUCAAGCACUGUUCUCUGUUCACUCUUAUAGGCCCACACACAACCCCGAUCCAAUAAAAGGACACCGAAGGCCCCCUUCCACCUCGCUUCCGCGGGGCUCCCCUCGGACGGGGCCUGAAGGGCUCUAGGUCUCCACGCCGUUUCCUUGAAGGCCUCUCCUGGCCAUCCACCACAACAAGGGGCUGGCCCAGGAAGGGGUUAAAGCCCUCAUGUCAAACCGCAAACUCGGGCACUGGCCCAGAAGGGACAUGGGAACCGGGGCCUCUGAGUGAUAAAGGCCGGAUUGUAGCAGCCCACUGAAUUGGAAAUGACUUGUAGGCCUAAUGAAACAGAACUUUGGCAGUAAAACAGAAUGAAAGGAACCAGACAAUAAAAGGCUGGAACAAAGGGUGCAGAGUCGCUUCGGCUUAGCAAAAUAAGCUCACUUUGUUGGUGGGGAAAGCCAAAGCCGAUUAGGAUAAACCAACGACUGAGCGUAAGUCUUCCAAACUAAUUACACAGUUCACCAUGUGAAGUAUAAUUGGAAGCCUCCAGAUGCGGGCUGCUUGGCUUUCACAGGAGUUACAUAAAGUGAGAAUUACCUAGCGAGCCCGGCACCGAGCAGCCCUAUCAUCGAGGUGAGCAGCUGAAAGGUGCAGAUCUGCUCCAUCCGGGACGAAGCCGAGAAUUCAUUAAGUUUAAAGGCCUCUUUUUGAUCUCCAAAAUCCUAUAAGUGAGAAUUUAAGAAACUGGUACUUGAAGGAGGGGCCGAAAGGGGAGAAGGAGGAAGCCCGCACACUCGGGGCUUCUUUGAUCCCAGUGCUUUUUAAUUACCAAGCCGGGCUCUUCCGGACGGCUAUGCAGGCAGAAUGGCGGAGAACCCUGCGAUCGACUGUCUGGGUCUGUAUGUGCACAGCGAGAGCGCCAUUCAUGUGCCACUUUCCGGAAUAGUCUGUGUACAUCAUGCCUGUACAUAUGAAAUCGUGAGCACAGAUAACGUCCACCAGGAAACCUGAAGCAGUGAAAUAAAUUACUGCACGUCAACAUUCUUGACAAAUGGACAAAACCCGCUCCCUCCGAGUACAGGCUGCUUCGUGAUGAAGCGAGAGAGGGGGGCUUACAAACAGCAAAGAAGAGGCUAGGUUGUACAAAAGUGACUGUCUGGGCUCUCCCCAGCAUGGACUGUGUGAUCUCAGACAACUCCCUGACCUUUCUCAACACCAGUGUGGCCAUCUGCGUGAUGGAUAUUCCACCUUUCUUGCUUGGACAGCCUUGAGAAUCGAAUUUUAGAAGGCAUCAAACAGCUUAGCACAAAGCACACAUCCCCUGAAGCCAGAAACAUCAACUUGUAGUAAAAGAAGCUCUUGUAGUAAAAUCUGAACUUCACAAA